AGAUAAGCCAGAAUGAAGGUUUACAUGUGCCUGCUUCUCCUGAUGGUCGUUGGAUGUGCCUUGUGUUUCGCACAGACGGAGGCUUGCACAUCUAAUGCCCAAUGUCCAGGACGCUACGGGGUAUGUCUUCGUACAUUGGGAUAUUGUUCUGAAGUGAACCCCCAUGGCAUAGCACCAAGAGCGUCGUAAUUCAAGUUCAAAACACCAGAACUACUGACAACGGACAUGAAUGAAUUACAACAUGAUCGACAAAUGCUACCCGACUGCAAGGCUUUAUUCGGAUUAAGUAAAACAUAUUGGACAUUAACUAUGGUUUCUUAAUUUCUGAUAAGAUUGUCUAAUUGUUUGUUAACAAUGCUGGGUCCGUGUUCCAGCCAUUUUGUGUUCCAUGGAUUCCGUUACAGUACUGUUCACGACUGAAGGCUGCUCAUGAUUAUGAAUUUUAAGAGCGAUAUUGAAAUCAAAUGUCACACAAAAAGACUCUAAAUCGAUCCCCGAUUACAGGCAUAUUUAACGAUUGGCACAUUUGAAUUUUCCACAAAACGCAUACAAAUCAAUUCUGAAAAUACAUUCUUCUCAUUAUUUUAAUAACAAGAAUUAAGAACUCGAGCACAGACAUAAUAUUAUUCCCACUGUGUUAUCUUAUUCCUGUCUGUAAUGUUUGUUUUUUGGUGAUUCUUGGGUUUGUUGGGGUAUCGGUGGUGCAUGGAUAUGAUUAGUCCUGGUGAUGGUUAUAAUACUCAUUCUUCUCAAGCCCAGAUAAUGUGUUUCGUAGCAUCCAGGCAUCAGUGUUCCAAAGAAUGGAGAAGGAAGGGAAAGGAAGAGGGAAUAAGAACAAAGUGGAGAUUGUAAAUAAUAAACACUGCUGCUCAAAACUCCGCGAAGCUAAAAUCAGGUUCUGCAAUCCAUGGCAAAGAUUGUACAUUCUAUCAUGUCGGCACAAGCUGCCGCGGCGUGAAGUCGCUUCAUGUACGGUGGUUAACAGCUACAGCUGUGCAAAACAAAAGCACGUGCUCGCUCGCAGCCAGUUACGAAUUGAGCUGAUUCUUAUUAGUGACAACUCUAAAUAACGAGGGCAUAUUUCGAUAGAGUCGAGCUACAAUUUUGAUAUUUGCGCCACAGAGCAUCUGCAAUCCACAAAUUUCCCGGGGCUCUUUAAGUGUCCCCAGAUCCUACAACUGCAGGGCUUCGCACAUAAACAAUUCCACUAUUUAGGAUUUAAAGAACCCAAACCCCUGCAUUCUGGGAUCAGGGAGCAGGCCUGAACAAGGUAUUCGCAAAGUUACUGAGCAUGUACAUGCAGUUUUGCGACAAUGAAAUCAAAAACAUUAUAGCUGGGUUGAAUUUUGUAUUUUUGAGCAAUUUUAAAAAUUAGUUUCGAACGAUUACAGUGCAAGCGCUCAAUAUAACAAAUUAAUCAUUGCAAAUUAAUCAUUGCAUUUAAGUUGCAAUUGUCCUCCGAUGGAAAAGAAAGAAAAUAAAACAAAAAGUUAUGUGGUGAUAGCCAAGU